rnacentral:rRNA from 1 species
UACGUAGGGGGCAAGCGUUGUCCGGAUUUAUUGGGCCUAAAGCAUCCGUAGCCGGCCUUACAAGUCCUCCGUUAAAUCCAGCUGCUUAACAGAUGGGCUGCGGAGGAUACUAUAAGACUAGGAGGCAGGAGAGGCAAGCGGUACUCAGUGGGUAGGGGUAAAAUCCGUUGAUCCAUUGAAGACCACCAGUGGCGAAGGCGGCUUGCCAGAAUGCGCUCGCGGUGAGGGAUGAAAGCUGGGGGGAGCAAACCGG